AAUGAACGCUGGCGGCAGGCCUAACACAUGCAAGUCGAGCGGAUGAAGGGAGCUUGUUCCUGGCUUCAGUGGCGGACGGGCGGGUAAUGCACAGGAAUCUGCCUGGUCGUGGGGGCUAACGUCCGGUCGCGGGCGCUAAUCCCGCAUCCGUCCAGAUGUUGAACGUGGGGGUUCUUCGGUCCAAGCGGUUUCUGCUGACCCUAGGCGGGAUUAGCUAGUUGGUGGGGUAAAGGCUUACCAAGGCGACGAUCCGUAACUGGCCUGAGAGGAUGAUCAGUCACACUGGAACUGAGACACGGUCCAGACUCCUACGGGAGGCAGCAGUGGGGAAUAUUGGACAAUGGGCGAAAGCCUGAUCCAGUCAUGCCGCGUGUGUGAUGAAGGUCUUCGGAUUGUAAAGCACUGUUAGUAGGGAAGAAGAGCAGUAAGUGAAUACCUUCCUGUCUUGACGUUACCAACAGAAUAAGCACCGGCUAACUUCGUG
rnacentral:rRNA from 1 species